rnacentral:lncRNA from 1 species
AUGUAUCACCUGCAGCAAAAUCCAUCAGCUGGAACCAAAAUGUUGGUAAGAGUAGAAAGAAGGAAACUCUGUAAAGAUCUGUUACCACAGAUAUGGAGAGUGGGAAGAAAUUGCCAGACACCAUUAACAGGCCUUGCAGGACACCUCACUGAAUGUGAUGCUCAGAGUAUUGGUGGAAAAUUCAUAAGCUGGGAUUGGAUGCCAGACUGGUAGGUUAUCAACACAUGUAUAUAUAAAGUUUAUAUAGCACUUACAUUUUAGAAAUUUUAUUAUGUAUAUAUUAAAUUGUAUUUCAUUAUUUUCUUAAUUUAUAUUGUUUAUUUGCAUUAUAUAUUGUUUUCAUAUUGUGAUACACAAACUAUAUAUCCUAGCCAUCAUUAUCUUAUUAGGAUCCAGAGCUAAGUUUCAAGAGAAUUCUUUUUGGCACCUUAAAAAUCAUAUUUCCCUGAGAUAAUAUACAAUAUUUUAUAUUACUAUUAUUAUGGUCUCUGGUUUCUUAUUAAGCUGACCUUUGUACCUGUUAAUGAGUUGAAUUGUGUCCCCCAAAGAUAUGUUCAAAUUCUAACUCCCAGGACCUUAGAAUGUUACCUUAUUUGGAGAGAGGGUCUUUACAGAGAUAGUCAAGUCAAAAUGAGAUCAUUACAAUAGGCCUCAAUCCAAUAGGAUUGGUGUUCUGAUAAAAAAAAAAAAAAAAGAAAUUUGGACAAAGAAAAAGACACACACAGAGGGAAGACAAUGUGAAGACACACAGAGAGAACAACAUGUAAAGACAGGACUGGAGUGAUGCAUCUAUAAACAAAGUAACACCAAAGAUUGUUGACAAACCACCAGAAGCUUAGGAAGGAAAGGAAGGAUUUUUCCCUAGAGCUGUCAAAGAGAACAUGGCCCUGCUCGUCUACACCUCAAUUUCAAACUAAUAGCCUCCAGAACUGAGAUAGUACAUUUCUGUUGCUUUAAGACACCCAGAGUUUGGUACUUUGUUACAAUACCCCUAGGAAAAUAAUAUAGUGCCUAAAAUAGAGUCUCUCUGUUUAAGGACAAAAUAUACUAAAUAUGUAUUACUGGAACCUUGUAUAAAUAUAUAUCUAAAUAUACACUGGAACCUUGAAAUACCAGGACCCUAUUCCAUCCAGGGCUCUGCUGUGAGAAGGUUCUUGGUCCCAACUCUAAGAAGCUCCUGUAACAAGAGCCAGCUUACCAAUGUGAAACUUACAAUACAUAGGCCUUUGCCUCUAGUAACAAUUAGGGAUCUAUACAUGACAUUCCAGACCCCAGUCUAGACAGUGGUCUUUCCAGUCUUGUCUCCCAUUCUUUCCCUGAUCCUUGUCCAGAGCCAAGCAGGUGCUAUCACUCUUCUCCUCCUCUUUGGCUGUCAUAUGGUACCAGACUAGUAGGAAGCAAUAAAUACAUGAGGGUUACAAGCA